rnacentral:lncRNA from 10 species
CUGGAAUGCAGUGGCGUGAUCUCGGAUCACUGCAACCUCCGCCUUCUGAGUUCAAGCCAUUCUCCUUCUUCAGCCUCCCGAGUAGCUGGGAUUACGGGUGCUUGCCACCUGUCGCAGUUUCCUGGAGCUGAGGUGGGGUGACACAAGCACCCCUGUGACCACCACCACUGGGACAGCACUGAGUCUCACUCAAGCCUCGUGGUAACCACUGCCUGUACUGCCUGCUUUUCGUUGAAGACUUCCUUGAGUUAUCUUUUUGGUCCAUAUUACAAAGAACUUUUUGUACUCUCCCUCCUUCUACCACCUUAUGCUCCUCUCUCUUUCCCCAUUUGAUUUACCUAUUCUGCUUCUCAGCAAUUAACCUUCUUUUCUUGUAGGUACUCUGAUAUAGUUUGGAUGUUCCCUCUAAAUCUUAUAUAAUUUCCAGUGUUGGAAGUGGGCAUGGUGGGAGGUAUUUAAAUCAUGGGGGUGGAUUUCUUAUGAAUAGUUUAGCCCCAUCCACUUGGUGCUGUCUAUGUGAUAGUGAGUGAGUUCUCAUGAAAUCUGGUCUUAAAAGUGUGUGGUACCUUCCCCCUACUCUCUCUCACUUGCUCCCAUUCUCGCUAUGUGAGACUGUGUCCCCCCUUCACCUUCUGCCAUGUUUGAAAGCUCCCUGAGGCUUCACUAGAAGCCCAGCUGAUGCCAACACCAUGCUUCCUGUAAAGCCCACAGAACCAUUAGCCAAUUAAACCCCCUUUCUUUAUAAAUUACCCAGUCUCAGGUAUUUCUUUAUAGCAAUGCAAGAAAGGAUUAAUACAUACUCCCAACUCAUCUGUUUAAUA